rnacentral:tRNA from 1 species
GCUGGGGCUGGGGCUCAGUGGUAGAGUGCUCACCUAGCACCUGCAAGGUACUGGGUUCAAUCCUCAGCACCACAUCA